GACCCAUUAGCUCAGUCGGUAGAGCACCUGACUUUUAAUCAGGGUGUCGGUGGUUCGAGUCCACCAUGGCUCACCA
rnacentral:tRNA from 1 species